rnacentral:rRNA from 1 species
UACGUAGGGGGCAAGCGUUGUCCGGAAUCAUUGGGCGUAAAGAGCGCGUAGGCGGUCCGGUAAGUCCGCUCUGAAAGUCCGGGGCUCAACCCCGGGAGGCGGGCGGAUACUGUCGGGCUAGAGUCCGGAAGAGGCGAGUGGAAUUCCUGGUGUAGCGGUGAAAUGCGCAGAUAUCAGGAGGAACACCAAUGGCGAAGGCAGCUCGCUGGGACGGUACUGACGCUGAGGCGCGAAAGCUAGGGGAGCAAACAGG